UUCAACAGCGUCAACAGACAGUCUGCAACGCUAGGUAACGUUAUCUUAGAGAUGGAAUCCAGCAAACGCCCGGCUCCCAGCACAAAAGCUACUCCUACACAAACUCAAGAGUAAGCCAAAAAAAAAAAAAAAAAACAUUUAUCUACUGAAUCCUGUCUGGCUAAGCGGGAACAUGAUCGUGGUCGAGCGAAAACUAGAGUGAACAUUGGCAGGGCAUUUGAUUCCUGGAGGGACCUUCAUUCGGUUUUGGGGAUCAAAACCGAUCCUGAAUUGGCAUUCUUCUUAUUGGACAGAGAUGAAUAGAGACUAUGGCUCCCUGCAUUUGAGGGCAUGAGCACACAGGAUGAAGAUCUGCUGGACCAGGAACUACUGCAGGAAGACCCGGACCACCAGGAGAUGGAGGAUGAGAUGGAACCUGAUCCCCAGCCAAGACCAUCAACUGGAUAAUGGAUCCCCAUUUCCAAGCAGAACCCACUCACCUCGCAUUUGAGAUUCUAGCAUGCUGGACGAGGUGUAAAAAUUUUGUCGGGCUUGCCUCGGACUGGGUAAAGUACUGCAUUAGCACCAUCCUGAUGUCAAUGGAUGGAGUGCGGACAACUCAUUAAAAAUGGAGACCCUGAAAUAGUCACUUGGCCUCUGCCUUCACUGAUAGCACUCAUACUGUUUAGCAAACUCUCUGUGCGCUCAUUGUAUCGAUUGACAACUGCAU